rnacentral:lncRNA from 1 species
CCAUGCCUGUGGCAUGCAGAAGUCUCCUGUCCAGGAAUAGAACCCGCACACAAGAGUGACCCAAGCUGCAAGAGUGACCAUGCCAGAUCUUUAACCCACUAGGCACACCAGAGACCUCCCCACCCAAUUUAUUCUUAAUGGACCUGCAAAAAGAGUAUUCAUAAUGGCAGGAAAGGGGGCCGUGUAUGAACUCACAAAAGAGGCUUCUCCUCACCAACCGACACACUCACUCCCACUUGCCAUUUACUUUGACUUGGUGGUUAAGAGUUGUGUGGAAGACAGAACCCCAUCUUCCUCUAUCCAAGCCAAAAAGGCCAAGAUACUGGCUUUCCCUAAGCUCUGGCAGCCUAGACCCAGGCCUGGGAUCUUCACUAGUCCCAGUGGAUUUAUCUGCCUGAGAUUUUAAAUCAGGUGCAAGUGAUACAAAGAGUAGAAGAAAGUUUACAGUUCAGUUUGAUGAUGGCAGUGGCAACGUCCAGGGCCCAGAGAAGUCACCAACAACCAGUGGUGGCAAUACCAACAGCAUCCUAGCCGGACCACUCCUGGGGUAUGACCUUGACCACAGUUCUGGUCUCUUCGUUUCUCAUGGUUCCUGAUCAGUUUCUAAGCCUGGUUCUCCAGGAUUCCUAUGACCUCUAUGAGCCAACGGAGUCCACGUUUCUCCACCCCAGAACUAUUCACUUGCUACCUCUCCCCUUCUCUCCCAAGGCCCAGAGGGAAGGGCCCAUCUGACCCCUUCUGAGUUAUCUCCAAUCACCCCCAGGACUUCCUCAUUUCCAAAUCCCCUCCCCUCCAAAAUCACACACACACAGAGUUUCUUCUUUACCUCUCUUCAACCUCACACAUUUUAGAUUUUCCAACAAAUUUACAGGAAUUAUUUUUAAUGGAGAAAGUCCCAAAUUUAGAAUAUCUCUAAAACCUCAAUGAACGUUUUCAUUCAUUGAAAGUUCAUAGAAAUGCAAAUGACAGCAGUAGCAAUCAUACUAGUAAUUGAAAUAAAUUAACAUUUCACUAUUUGCCGUGACCUGUGCUGAGCAGGUUUUUAAUAUUAAUUUAUUUUUUCAACAAAUAUUUUUCUCUUUUUAUUAUAGUUGAUUUACAAUGUUUCUUGGGCUUCUGUUGUACAGUAAAGUGACCCAAUCACACACAGUUCCCUGUGCUGUACGGUAGGGCCCCAUUGCCCAUCCUUUCCAAGUGUAACAGUUUGCAUCCAAAAUAUUUAUUUUGGAGUUCCCGUCGUGGCACAGUGGUUAACGAAUCCGACUAGGAACCAUGAGGUUGCGGUUCGAUCCCUGGCCUUGCUCAGUGGGUUAAGGAUCUGACAUUGCCGUGAGCUGGGGUGUAGGUCUCAGACACAGCUCAGAUCUGAUGUGCCUGUGGCUGUGGCAUAGGCCGGCAGCUAUAGCUCCUAUUUGACCCCUAGCCUGGGAACUUCGAUAUGCAACCCUGAAAGGCAAAAACAAAAACAAAAAAAUUAUUUUUACUAUAGUUGAUUUACAAUGUUGUGCCACAAGAAAUAUUUCUUGAACAUGCCAGGCACUAUUCUAGGCGCUUGGAAUACACUGACGAAUAAGACCGACAGCACCCCUGCCUUUAUGGGACAUAUAUUUUAGUGACAGGAGAAAAACCAUAAACAAACAAGUUGAUUUCAGCUAAUGCUAAGUGACUAUGUAAUAAAGAAGGAUGGGGCAGAUGGCCAAAAAGCAGAUGAAAAGAUAUUCAGCAUCACUCUUUAUUAGAGAAAUGCAAAUCAAAACUGCAAUGAGGUAUCACCUCACACCAGUCAGAAUGGCCACCAUCAAAAAGUCUACAAACAGGGAGUUCCCGUCAUGGCUCAGUGGUUAACGAAUCCGACUAGGAGCCAUGAGGUUUCGGGUUCGAUCCCUGGUCUUGCUCGAUGGGUUAAGGAUCCCGUGAGCUGUGGUGUAGGUUGCAGACACGGCUUGGAUCCCCCGUUGCUGUGGCUGUGGUGUAGGCCGUCGGCUACAGCUCCAAUUCGACCCCUAGCCUGGGAACCUCCAUAUGCCAUGGGAGUGGCCCAAGAAAUGGCAAAAAGACAAAAAAAAAAGAAAGUCUACAAACAAUAAAUGUUGGAGAGAGUGUGGAGAAAAGGGAACCCUCCUACACUGUUGGUGGGAAUGUAAAUUUAUACAACCACCACGGUACCGGUACUAUAUGGAGGUUCCCUGAAAAACUAAAUACGGAAGUUCCUAACAGUUAAAGAUCUGGCACUGUCAUUGCUGUGGCUUGGGUCACUUAAGUGGUACAGGGUAUUUGCAUGGGGUUUUUUAGGUUUUUUUGUUUUUGUUUUUGUCUUUUUAGGGCCACACCUCGGCAUAUGGAAGUUCCCAGGCUAGGGGUCGAAUCAGAGCCGCAGCCGCUGGCCUGUAUGUGGCGCAGGUUUGAUCCCUGGCCUGGAAACUUCCACAUGCCAAGGGCAUGGCCAAAAAAAAAAAAAAAACUAAAUAUAGAAUGACUAUAUGAUUUAGCAAUCUGGAGCAUAUAUCUGGAGAAGGACAAAACUAUCAUUCAAAAAGAUUCAUGUACCCCAGUGUUCACUGCAGCACUAUUUACAAUAGCCAAGACAUGGAAGCUACCUAAAUGUCCGUUGACAGAUGAAUAGAUAAAGAAGAUGUGUUAUAUAUAUCAGCUAUAAAAAAGAAUGAAAUAUGUAAAUCAACUAUAAUUUUUUAAAUCUUUUUAAAGAAUGAAAUAAUGCCAUUUGCAGCAACAUGGAUGGACCUAGAGAUUAUCAUACUAAGUGAAGGAAGUCAGACAGAGAAACACAAAUAUCAUAUGAUAUCACUUAUAUGUGGAACCUAAACAAAAAUAAUACAAAAGACUUUAUUUACAAAACAGAAACAGACUAGCAGAUUUUUGGGGGGGGUUUUUGGCCACACCCAUAGUAUAUGGAAGUUCCCAGGCCAGGGAUUGAAUCAGAGCUGCAGCUGUGACAUAGACCACAGCUGUGGCAUGCAGGCUAACCCACUGCUCCACAGCAGGAACUUCCAGACUCACAGAUUUUGAAAUCAAACUUAUCAAAUGGGAAACGGGGGGAGGGGUAAAUUAGACGUUUGGAAUUAACAUAUACACACAACUACAUACAAAAUAGAUAACUAACAAGGACCUCCAUUGUAUAGCACAGGGACAUCUACCCAAUAUUCACAAUAACCUAUACAAAAAGGAAAUCUGAGAAAGGAUAAAUACAUGAGUGUGUAUAACUGAUUCUCUUGCUGUACACCUGAAACUAACACAACAUUGUAAGUCACCUAUACUCCAAUAAAGUUGUUUUAAUUCAUUUUUUUAUUUUUAGAAAAAAGAAUGACUAGGGAAGUCUACCUUUAGUCCUCACAACUAUCUUGUGAUGCAUAGAAACUAUUGUAAUCACUGUUUUGCAGAUUAGGAAAUUAAGGCAUAGAAAUGUUAAGAAACCACCCAAGAGUGUACAGAUAGUAUAUUGAGGUCAGCAUUUGGUCUUGGAGCUUCCUAGCACCAAAGCCAAGCUCCAAACCACAGUGCCAUAUUGCCAUCUAUAGCCUGCCUUCUGGUCAACCCUCCUCAGCCUCCGUAUUCUCCAGUCCUAGACUUUUCAAUAUAGUAAGGAUCCUAUUCCACUCUUUAAUGUCCUUUAUUCUCAAGCAUAGACAUGGGCUUCUCCAUCCCCAGCCUUCCAUAUCCUUUUCUGCACUUAUAAGAAGGCCAGCAUUCACACAAGUACCAAGAGUGAGUCUCUGGUCAAACGAAGGGCUCACAUCAGAGGAAAUUACUCUUAUUUCCCAAGUGGUUUCCUUCUUCCUGAAUGGAGAUGAUCAGAGCUCACUACUUAGAUUCUCACCUCCAACUGCAAUUUCACACCCCGUUUGAAUAACACCUGGGGAUAGAUUUUCCCAGAUUUGGCAAAUGAAAGUACAAGACACCUAAUUAAGUUUGAUUUUUCUGAUGAACAGUGAAAAAAAGUUUAAUGUCUAUAUGGCCCAAAUAUUUCUUUCCCUAGAAAGAUAAAACAGUGCUAAAUCCAUGUGGCCCAAUAGUUCAUGAGACGCAAUUACUUGUUUAAAACAAAUUUUUUUAUUAAAACAAUAAAAAUUUUUAAUUUUUAAAAAAUUACUUGUUGUUCACGUGAAAUUCAAAUUUAAAUGAAUAGCCAAUGUUUUUCUGGCAACUCUGUCUAGGGGGACCCUGAAAAUAGGGGACCUCGGCCACCAGAGCUGAUGGUCACCAACUCAGGGAGAGAAGCAUGAAGCCACUUAGGGCUGAUCCAGUCCCAUCUCAUCAUGUCCCCCUUCCUCCUGCCUUCACCCUCAACACAGAACAUGAGGAAAAAAUCCCUCCCCUUGUCUUGUUCAGAUACCAACUCUAUCAGGAAGUCAUUCCUUGAGUCUAACUUUGAUACCUCAUGUUGCACCUGCAGUCCAAGUAUGUCUCACCCAGUCCUUGGCAGCCUAAGAGACAGUGAGUUCAUGGCCUUCUCAUCUGGCUUUUUAUGCAUUAUAAGAAUACUAAAUAUAUGUACCGUUCCCAUCCUGCUCUUCCCUGGACUGAGAAACUAACUCAGGAAUUAACCCUAAUUCCUUCUUAACUUUCAGUCCAUUUCCUUACCCUGAAAAUUGGACUGCCCUCAACUGGACAUUUCUUUUGGAGGGCAACUUGUCAGUAUGUUUCAAAAGCUCUAAAACUGUGCAUAUGUUUUGACUCAGCAAUUCCAUUUCUAGAAGUUUGUGUUCAGAAAAGCAUAAAAGUAUACAAAAUAUAAGUGCAAUGAUAUCUAUCUCUGCAAUAUUUAUAACAAAAAAAAUUUAAUUCCGGAAGUUCCCUUGUGUCACAGCAAGGUAAGGAUCUGGCCUCGCUGCAGCUGUGGUUCGAUCCUUGUGCUCAGGAACUUCCACGUAUCAUGGGUGUGGCCAAAAAAUAAUAAUAAUAGACAAAAAAUGUUUAUGUUUAAUUCCAACAGUAGGCGGUUUCUUUAAACUUUAGUAUAUUAAAAUAAUGUUUUAAGGAGUUCCCAUUGUAGCUCAGUGGUUAACGAACCCGACUAGCAUCCAUGAGGAUGCAG